AAUGAACGCUGGCGGCAGGCCUAAAACAUGCAAGUCGAACGCUGUAGCAAUACAGAGUGGCGCACGGGUGAGUAACACAUGGGAAUAUGCCUUUUAGUACGGAACAACGUUUGGAAACGAACGCUAAUACCGUAUGGUCCCUUCGGGGUAAAGAUUUAUCGCUAAAAGAGUAGCCCUUGUUGGAUUAGCUAGUUGGUGAGGUAAUGGCUCACCAAGGCGACGAUCCAUAGCUGGUCUGAGAGGACGAUCAGCCACACUGGGACUGAGACACGGCCCAGACUCCUACGGGAGGCAGCAGUUAGGAAUAUUGGACAAUGGAGGAAACUCUGAUCCAGCCAUGCCGCGUGAGUGAUGAAGGCCUUCGGGUUGUAAAGCUCUUUAGCCGACGAAUAUAAUGACUGUAGUCGGAGAAUAAGCCCCGGCUAACUUCGUGCCAGCCGCCGCAGUAA
rnacentral:rRNA from 1 species